UCUCUAUUUCACUAUAAAUCACAAAUACCAUCAAAGUAAAUCAAAUUCAAGUUCAACAAAACUCAUUCACUACAUGAAUACCAUCAAACAUGUCAUAUUCAUAUUUAAAACAAAUUUCAUCCUCAGUUGUAGAUACUAGCGAAUCAUAAUAAUCCAUAUCUAAGUAUAACACACCUACCGAGUCAAUCAUGUUCUUUUGCUUGAUAAUUAAAGUUAUUCAUCCUUAUAUUCCAUCAUGUAAUACCAUUCCUACAAGUGUCAUUAGUGAUCCAUAGG
rnacentral:lncRNA from 1 species